UUCAGUGUUCAAAAACCUCCAGAAUAUUUGAAGAGCAGCAGCCAACAAUAAAAUCCUGCAAAAGUGCCCGUUUGAUUGUUUUAUCACAUUAAGUAAAUCCAGGAGGAAAGUGAAUGUGUUUUCAGGAGUCUGUUGAGUGGAGAGUGUUUUGCAUGUUUACUGCUCCACACACAAAACUCCUCUGAUGAUCAGUGUGUGUUCAGUCCUGACAGAGUCACUGACACACUGAACAAUAAUGGCUCUUUUACUGAUUCUGGCUACACUGGCUCUGCUGGCUCAAGUGUCUCAUGAAGAGGUCCAGACUCCUGAGUCUCUGUCUGUUAAAGCAGGAGAAUCUGCCACUAUUAGCUGCACUGCGUCUUCUGGAAUUGGUUAUGCCAUGAGCUGGUAUCUGCUGAAACCUGGAAAAACUCCUAAACUCCUGAUUUACUCUACUAGUAACCUUGCAUCUGAAGUUUCAAACCGGUUCAGUGGAAGUUAUUCUGGAUAUCAAUUUAUGCUGAACAUACGUGGAGUCCAGAAUGAAGAUGCAGGAGAUUAUUUCUGCUCUCGGUCACUGCAUUCUGGGAUGGGUGCGUGGCGUCACAGCUGAUGGUUGUUGCUCUCCUCCACUCACUCUCAGUGAGGCUCAGGCUGCUGCUCCAGCUGUACAGUCCAUCCUUCUGCAGCACACUGGGACUCAGAUUCACAGCAGAGCUCCUGCUGCUGCCAUCCAGCUCUAUCAGUCUUUCGCUUCC